rnacentral:rRNA from 1 species
UAGGGAAUCUUCCGCAAUGGGCGCAAGCCUGAUGGAGCAACACCGCGUGAGUGAAGAAGGGUUUCGGCUCGUAAAGCUCUGUUGUUGAAGAAGAACACGUAUGAGAGUAACUGUUCAUACGUUGACGGUAUUUAACCAGAAAGUCACGGCUAACUACGUGCCAG